CCCUUAGACGUUCUGGGCCGCACGCGCGCUACACUGAACAGUUCAACAAGUCUUAACCUUGGCCGAUAGGUCUGGGUAAUCUUUGAACGCUGUUCGUGAUUGGGAUAGACCUUUGCAAUUAUGGGUCUUCAACGAGGAAUUCCUAGUAAACGCAAGUCAUCAGCUUGCAUUGAUUACGUCCCUGCCCUUUGUACACACCGCCCGUCGCACCUACCGAUUGAAUGGUCCGGUGAAUAAUUCGGACUGCAGCACUGCUUGGUCUCCAGGCUUUGCAGCGGAAAGUUUAGUGAACCUUAUCACUUAGAGGAAGGAGAAGUCGUAACA
rnacentral:rRNA from 1 species